rnacentral:sRNA from 1 species
UCCUAGCCCCGAUAGAAGUGGAAAUCCUUUUAUUUUUUUUCUUUAAAAAAAUAAAAGAUUGCAACGGAUAGCGGGAUUAGCU